GAUGAACGCUGGCGGCGUGCCUAAUACAUGCAAGUCGAGCGAACGGACGAGAAGCUUGCUUCUCUGAUGUUAGCGGCGGACGGGUGAGUAACACGUGGAUAACCUACCUAUAAGACUGGGAUAACUUCGGGAAACCGGAGCUAAUACCGGAUGAUAUUUUGAACCGCAUGGUUCAAAAGUGAAAGACGGUCUUGCUGUCACUUAUAGAUGGAUCCGCGCUGCAUUAGCUAGUUGGUAAGGUAACGGCUUACCAAGGCAACGAUGCAUAGCCGACCUGAGAGGGGGAUAGGCCACACUGGAGCUGAGACGCGGUCCAGACGCCUACGGGAGGCAGCAGUAGGGAAUCUUCCGCAAUGGGCGAAAGCCUGACGGAGCAACGCCGCGUGAGUGAUGAAGGUCUUCGGAUCGUAAAACUCUGUUAUUAGGGAAGAACAUAUGUGUAAGUAACUGUGCACAGCUUGACGGUACCUAAUCAGAAAGCCACGGCUAACUACGUG
rnacentral:rRNA from 1 species